UUCCUUUUUUUUCCUCCCAGCUGGAAGACUUGGAGGUGACAGUGUCUGACCAUCUCCAGAAGGUUCUGAAGCCCAACUUUGCAGCUGCCUGGGAGGAGGUGGGAGAUGACUUUGAGAAAGAAGAAACCUUUGCCCUCAGCUCCAUCAAAACCCUGGAUGAAGCUGUCAAUAACAUCAUCAAGUUCCUGGGCAUGCAGCCCUGUGAGAGGUCAGAUAAAGUGCCAGAAAACAAAAAUUCUCACACCCUCUAUUUGGCUGGUGUGUACAGAGGUGGCUGUGACGUGCUGGUGAGGUCCAGGCUGGCCCUUGGGGACGGUGUGACCAUGCAGGUGACAGUGAGGAGCAAGGACGAGACGGCCGUCGAUGUCAUCCUGGCCUCGGUGGGCUGAGGGUCCCCCUGUCCUGCUGUCCUUCUGUCCUGCUGUCCUUCUGCACGGGGUUUUUAUUCCUCCCUUGGGGAACUCUUUUCUAUGCUGUCCAGUAGUGGCUGGCUGGUACUGAGCCAUUCCCGUGUCCCUUCCCUCCUUGUCACACCGUUCCCACCUGACUGACGGCAUCUCAUCAGAUGUGAGGAAACAGAAUCAGAUUUUUGUCAAAAUUGCUUUUUAUUAACAGAAAAUAAACACUGGUUCAAGUGGUGGAAUUCAUAUGAAUUACUGUUAAUAAAAUAGAUUUUUUUUUUUGUUCUUA